rnacentral:rRNA from 1 species
CCUACGGGAGGCAGCAGUGAGGAAUAUUGGUCAAUGGACAAGAGUCUGAACCAGCCAAGUAGCGUGAAGGAUGACUGCCCUAUGGGUUGUAAACUUCUUUUAUAUGGGAAUAAAAUGUUCCACGUGUGGGAUUUUGUAUGUACCAUAUGAAUAAGGAUCGGCUAACUCCGUGCCAGCAGCCGCGGUAAUACGGAGGAUCCGAGCGUUAUCCGGAUUUAUUGGGUUUAAAGGGAGCGUAGGUGGAUUGUUAAGUCAGUUGUGAAAGUUUGCGGCUCAACCGUAAAAUUGCAGUUGAAACUGGCAGUCUUGAGUACAGGAGAGGUGGGUGGAAUUCGUGGUGUAGCGGUGAAAUGCUUAGAUAUCACGAAGAACUCCGAUUGCGAAGGCAGUUCACUGGACUGCAACUGACACUGAGGCUCGAAAGUGUGGGUAUCAAACAGGAUUAGAUACCCUUGUAGUC